AUUGAACGCUGGCGGCAUGCCUUACACAUGCAAGUCGAACGGUAACAGGUUAAGCUGACGAGUGGCGAACGGGUGAGUAAUGUAUCGGAACGUGCCCAGUCGUGGGGGAUAACUACUCGAAAGAGUGGCUAAUACCGCAUACGACCUGAGGGUGAAAUCGGGGGACCGAAAGGCCUCGCGCGAUUGGAGCGGGCGAAAUCGGAUUCGCUAGUUGGUGGGGUAAAAGCCCACCAAGGCGACGAUCUGUAGCGGGUCUGAGAGGACGACCAGCCACACUGGGACUGAGACACGGCCCAGACUCCUACGGGAGGCAGCAGUGGGGAAUUUUGGACAAUGGACGCAAGUCUGAACCAGCCAUGCCGCGUGCGGGAAGAAGGCCUUCGGGUUGUAAACCGCUUUUGUCAGGGAAGAAACGAGUUUCUCUAAUACAGAGACUUAAUGACGGUACCUGAAGAAUAAGCACCGGCUAACUACGUGCCAGCAGCCGCCGUAAAAC
rnacentral:rRNA from 1 species